GAUGAACGCUGGCGGCGUGCCUAAUACAUGCAAGUCGAGCGAACAGACGAGGAGCUUGCUCCUCUGACGUUAGCGGCGGACGGGUGAGUAACACGUGGAUAACCUACCUAUAAGACUGGGAUAACUUCGGGAAACCGGAGCUAAUACCGGAUAAUAUAUUGAACCGCAUGGUUCAAUAGUGAAAGACGGUUUUGCUGUCACUUAUAGAUGGAUCCGCGCCGCAUUAGCUAGUUGGUAAGGUAACGGCUUACCAAGGCGACGAUGCGUAGCCGACCUGAGAGGGUGAUCGGCCACACUGGAACUGAGACACGGUCCAAACUCCUACGGGAGGCAGCAGUAGGGAAUCUUCCGAAAUGGGCGAAAGCCUGACGGAGCAACGCCGCGUGAGUGAUGAAGGUCUUCGGAUCGUAAAACUCUGUUAUUAGGGAAGAACAAAUGUGUAAGUAACUAUGCACGUCUUGACGGUACCUAAUCAGAAAGCCACGGCUAACUACGUG
rnacentral:rRNA from 1 species